UCACACCUGAGAAGACAAAGGCCUACAUAAUGAGCUGCAUAAUGAGCCUAUCAGUCAGGUGUGUGACUAAGAGGGAUUUGCUACAAGAAAGAAAGUGAGGAAAAAAUAAUUUU